GAUGAACGCUGGCGGCGUGCCUAAUACAUGCAAGUCGAGCGAACGGACGAGAAGCUUGCUUCUCUGAUGUUAGCGGCGGACGGGUGAGUAACACGUGGAUAACCUACCUAUAAGACUGGGAUAACUUCGGGAAACCGGAGCUAAUACCGGAUAAUAUUUUGAACCGCAUGGUUCAAAAGUGAAAGACGGUCUUGCUGUCACUUAUAGAUGGAUCCGCGCUGCAUUAGCUAGUUGGUAAGGUAGCGGCUUACCAAGGCAACGAUGCAUAGCCGACCUGAGAGGGUGGACGGGCACACGGGAACUGAGACACGGUCCAGACGCCCAAGGGAGGCAGCAGGAGGGAAUCUUCCGCAAUGGGCGAAAGCCUGAAGGAGCAACGCCGGGUGAGUGAUGAAGGUCUUUGGAUUGUAAAACUCUGUUAUUAGGGAAGAACAUAAGUGUAAGUAACUGUGCCACUUCUGAAGGUACCUAAUCAGAAAGCCACGGCUAACUUCGGG
rnacentral:rRNA from 1 species